ACCAUUUCGAAUAUUAAUAUCGUUCCACUAAUCGAUUCCUGUAAUUUUACUGCGUGUGCAUUUUAUCGACUUACACGUCGAUUUUGAACGUCGAAUCGAGAUGUUAUGCUUCCUAUGAUCACUAAAACAACUUUUUAGGCGGGAAGAAUGUAAUCAACCACAUAAAUUCACAAUAAUUCACUAUCGAAAUUACGCAACUAUAGGCGAUUAUAAGAUGUAUCGGAUUUAAUGAGGUUAAGGCAUACUGUACAAGUUUGGGGACAACAAGAAGAAUAGGAAAAGGAAGAA